GCCUAGUUAGCUUAGUUGGUAGUGCGUCUGCCUUGUAAGCGCUAGGCCUCGGGUUCGAUUCCCGCCCGGGGCG
rfam:Asian citrus Psyllid, Diaphorina citri - Florida Strain, whole genome shotgun sequence.